rnacentral:rRNA from 1 species
GAUGAACGCUGGCGGCGUGCCUAAUACAUGCAAGUCGAGCGAACAGACGAGGAGCUUGCUCCUCUGACGUUAGCGGCGGACGGGUGAGUAACACGUGGAUAACCUACCUAUAAGACUGGGAUAACUUCGGGAAACCGGAGCUAAUACCGGAUAACAUGUUGAACCGCAUGGUUCAACAGUGAAAGACGGUUUUGCUGUCACUUAUAGAUGGAUCCGCGUCGCAUUAGCUAGUUGGUAAGGUAACGGCUUACCAAGGCAACGAUGCGUAGCCGACCUGAGAGGGUGAUCGGCCACACUGGAACUGAGACAUGGUCCAGACUCCUACGGGAGGCAGCAGUAGGGAAUCUUCCGCAAUGGGCGAAAGCCUGACGGAGCAACGCCGCGUGAGUGAAGAAGGUCUUCGGAUCGUAAAACUCUGUUAUUAGGGAAGAACAAAUGUGUAAGUAACUAUGCACGUCUUGACGGUACCUAAUCAGAAAGCCACGGCUAACUACGUG